rnacentral:rRNA from 1 species
GAUGAACGCUGGCGGCGUGCCUAAUACAUGCAAGUCGAGCGAACAGAUGAGGAGCUUGCUCCUCUGACGUUAGCGGCGGACGGGUGAGUAACACGUGGAUAACCUACCUAUAAGACUGGGAUAACUUCGGGAAACCGGAGCUAAUACCGGAUAAUAUAUUGAAUCGCAUGGUUCAAUAGUGAAAGACGGUUUUGCUGUCACUUAUAGAUGGCUCCGCGCCGCAUUAGCUAGUUGGUAAGGUAAAAGCUUACCCAGGCAACGAUGCUUAGACGACCCCAACGGGUGGUCGGCCAGACUGGAACUGAGACACGGCCCAGACACCGACGGUGGGAAACAGUAGGGAAUCUUCCGCAAGGGGCGAGUGCGUGACAGAGCAACGCGGCGUGAGGGAUGAAGGACUUCGGAUCGUAAAGCUCUGUUAUUAUGAAAGAAGAAAUGUGUAAGUAACUAUGCACAUCUUGACGGUACCGAGUCAGAAAGCCACGGCUAACUACGUG